rnacentral:lncRNA from 1 species
UGCUCCGUUGCCCAGGAGCCGAAGCCGCCGAGCCGCCGCCCGCAGCCGUGGUCCCUACAGUGAGUGAGUUCAAACUCCCCGCAACCGCAGUCUGCAGCGUCCGGGUACUCUAGGUCUCGGACCGUAGCUGUCGGUCGGACUCGGGGAUCGGCCGAUGAUCCAGGCAGGAGCAGGAGGUGCCAGCUUGGAGGCGAAUGAAGUGUAUCUUGUGUUUACUGGUGUGGACUACAGACAUAUUGUGAAGAAAACAAACUGCACAUAAAUAAAAAUUAUUGCCAGGACACCAAGACUACGAAGACAUUCUUCAGUAUUUUCAUGAAUCUGUAAAAUUAUGUGACUAGAGAGGUCAUUUUUCCAGACGAUGGGGGAAAGAGCCCGAAGUCCAGAUAUU